CAAGGGGAUUACACUAUAUUCCCUCACUAUAAUGCAGUCAGGAGGAUCGUGGUCUUAUUUUAUUAGUCUCCCCAAACAAAAGAAGCAAACACCUGCGGGUUCUGCGUAUGGGGAACUACGUUAAAUAUAUCAUGAUUGCCAUUCGUGUUUUCUACAUAUAUAUUCCCUUCUGACAUGACUAUUCUCACUGGUCUCUACUGUGUGCAAGGAUGCUAGAGUGUAUAAGCUUCUCUAGACCCCUUGAAUGUGUGGGAUAGGUAGGGAAGGGUGUCAGGUAAGCAGCGGCCGGGUACCAGACAUAAUAUUUCCUUGGACGUGUUCCCCCUUGACAAAGUCCCCCAUGAACACAUAUUCCCUUCUGGACAUUUCCCCAUCCGGACAUUUUCCACUCAUUUAUCUAUUUAAUAAGAACGAACUAAUAAAUAAAUGAACAGUAAAACAGACGAUUAAGGAUAAGGAACACAUGAUAGAAGAGAAAUGAGGGAUCGAAGUAAGGAAAGAGGGAAACGGAGUAAGUUUUUGGACGCCCUGUGCGCGUUCCCGAGGCCCCGCGACUUUCCAUCCCAAAGACGAUAUACGCGGCGAGCAUUGCGAUAUCUUUUAUUAAUUUCAUAAUCCAGUCUGGUAGUUUUAAGAAGCGAGUUCUUGCAUCCGCCGCCCUCCUCGACUCGGAGGGGAUCGAGAGUAAGGAGCGCCAGCGAGCCCAAGGUCUCCCUGGCGAGAGGGGCGGUACUGGAGGGCUCCCAGAGGGGCGCCUUGGUGUGCCCCGGGGCGUCCGCGGAGGUGCCGGAGAUCGGGUAGGUGGGGCUCGUUAGCCGUGGUAGGCAGUCCACCUAGGAGAGCAAACUCCGAACAACAAACCCGGGCAGAUGGGGCUCGUUAGCCGUGGUAGGCAGUCCAUCUAGGAGAGCAAACUCCGAACAUCAAACCCGGCAGGUGGAGGUCGUUAGCGCGAGCAGUUCACCUAGGAGAGCAAACUCCGAUGAAAAAUCCGGGCAGGUGGAGCUCGUUAGCGAGAGCAGUUCACCUAGGAGAGCAAACUCCGAUGAAAAAUCCGGGCAGGUGGAGCUCGUUAGCGAGAGCAGUUCACCUAGGAGAGCAAACUCCGAUGAAAAAUCCGGGCAGGUGGAGCUCGUUAGCGAGAGCAGUUCACCUAGGAGAGCAAACUCCGAUGAAAAAUCCGGGCAGGUGGAGCUCGUUAGCGUGAGCAGUUCACCUAGGAGAAGGACAACUCUGAUUACAAACCCGGGCAGGUGGAGCUCGUCAGCCGUGGUAGGCAAUUCAUCUAGGAGAGGGACAACUCCGAACAACAAACACGGGCAGAUGGAGGUCGUUAGCCAUGGUAGGCAAUUCAUCUAGGAGAGGGACAACUCCGAACAACAAACACGGACAGAUGGAGGUCGUUAGCCGUGGUAGGUAAUUCAUCUAGGAGAGGGACAACUCCGAACAACAAACACGGACAGAUGGAGGUCGUUAGCCAUGGUAGGUAAUUCAUCUAGGAGAGGGACAACUCCGAACAACAAACACGGACAGAUGGAGGUCGUUAGCCAUGGUAGGCAAUUCAUCUAGGAGAGGGACAACUCCGAACAACAAACACGGACAGAUGAAGGUCGUUAGCCAUGGUAGGCAAUUCAUCUAGGAGAGGGACAACUCCGAACAACAAACACGGGCAGAUGGAGGUCGUUAGCCAUGGUAGGCAAUUCAUCUAGGAGAGGGACAACUCCGAACAACAAACACGGACAGAUGGAGGUCGUUAGCCAUGGUAGGCAAUUCAUCUAGGAGAGGGACAACUCCGAACAACAAACACGGGCAGAUGGAGGUCGUUAGCCAUGGAAGGCAAUUCAUCUAGGAGAGGGACAACUCCGAACAACAAACACGGACAGAUGGAGGUCGUCAGCCAUGGAAGGCAAUUCAUCUAGGAGAGGGACAACUCCGAACAACAAACACGGACAGAUGAAGGUCGUUAGCCAUGGUAGGCAAUUCAUCUAGGAGAGGGACAACUCCGAACAACAAACACGGGCAGAUGGAGGUCGUCAGCCAUGGAAGGCAAUUCAUCUAGGAGAGGGACAACUCCGAACAACAAACACGGGCAGAUGGAGGUCGUUAGCCAUGGUAGGCAAUUCAUCUAGGAGAGGGACAACUCCGAACAACAAACACGGGCAGAUGGAGGUCGUCAGCCAUGGAAGGCAAUUCAUCUAGGAGAGGGACAACUCCGAACAACAAACACGGACAGAUGGAGGUCGUCAGCCAUGGUAGGCAAUUCAUCUAGGAGAGGGACAACUCCGAACAACAAACACGGGCAGAUGGAGGUCGUCAGCCAUGGUAGGCAAUUCAUCUAGGAGAGGGACAACUCCGAACAACAAACACGGGCAGAUGGAGGUCGUCAGCCGUGGUAGGCAAUUCAUCUAGGAGAGGGACAACUCCGAACAACAAACACGGGCAGAUGAAGGUCGUUAGCCAUGGUAGGCAGUUCAUCUAGGAGAGGGACAACUCCGAACAACAAACACGGGCAGAUGAAGGUCGUUAGCCAUGGUAGGCAAUUCAUCUAGGAGAGGGACAACUCCGAACAACAAACACGGGCAGAUGAAGGUCGUUAGCCAUGGUAGGCAGUUCAUCUAGGAGAGGGACAACUCCGAACAACAAACACGGACAGAUGGAGGUCGUCAGCCGUGGUAAGCAAUUCAUCUAGGAGAGGGACAACUCCGAACAACAAACACGGGCAGAUGGAGGUCGUUAGCCAUGGUAGGUAAUUCAUCUAGGAGAGGGACAACUCCGAACAACAAACACGGACAGAUGAAGGUCGUUAGCCAUGGUAGGCAAUUCAUCUAGGAGAGGGACAACUCCGAACAACAAACACGGGCAGAUGGAGGUCGUUAGCCAUGGUAGGUAAUUCAUCUAGGAGAGGGACAACUCCGAACAACAAACACGGACAGAUGAAGGUCGUUAGCCAUGGUAGGCAAUUCAUCUAGGAGAGGGACAACUCCGAACAACAAACACGGGCAGAUGGAGCUCGUCAGCCGUGGUAGGCAAUUCAUCUAGGAGAGGGACAACUCCGAACAACAAACACGGGCAGAUGGAGGUCGUUAGCCAUGGUAGGCAAUUCAUCUAGGAGAGGGACAACUCCGAACAACAAACACGGACAGAUGGAGGUCGUUAGCCAUGGUAGGUAAUUCAUCUAGGAGAGGGACAACUCCGAACAACAAACACGGACAGAUGGAGGUCGUUAGCCAUGGUAGGCAAUUCAUCUAGGAGAGGGACAACUCCGAACAACAAACACGGACAGAUGGAGGUCGUCAGCCAUGGUAGGCAAUUCAUCUAGGAGAGGGACAACUCCGAACAACAAACACGGGCAGAUGGAGGUCGUCAGCCAUGGUAGGCAAUUCAUCUAGGAGAGGGACAACUCCGAACAACAAACACGGACAGAUGGAGGUCGUUAGCCAUGGUAGGCAAUUCAUCUAGGAGAGGGACAACUCCGAACAACAAACACGGGCAGAUGAAGGUCGUCAGCCAUGGUAGGCAAUUCAUCUAGGAGAGGGACAACUCCGAACAACAAACACGGGCAGAUGGAGGUCGUCAGCCAUGGUAGGCAAUUCAUCUAGGAGAGGGACAACUCCGAACAACAAACACGGGCAGAUGGAGGUCGUUAGCCAUGGUAGGCAAUUCAUCUAGGAGAGGGACAACUCCGAACAACAAACACGGGCAGAUGGAGGUCGUUAGCCAUGGUAGGCAAUUCAUCUAGGAGAGGGACAACUCCGAACAACAAACACGGGCAGAUGGAGGUCGUCAGCCAUGGUAGGCAAUUCAUCUAGGAGAGGGACAACUCCGAACAACAAACACGGGCAGAUGGAGGUCGUUAGCCAUGGUAGGCAAUUCAUCUAGGAGAGGGACAACUCCGAACAACAAACACGGGCAGAUGGAGGUCGUUAGCCAUGGUAGGCAAUUCAUCUAGGAGAGGGACAACUCCGAACAACAAACACGGACAGAUGGAGGUCGUUAGCCAUGGUAGGCAAUUCAUCUAGGAGAGGGACAACUCCGAACAACAAACACGGACAGAUGGAGGUCGUCAGCCAUGGUAGGCAAUUCAUCUAGGAGAGGGACAACUCCGAACAACAAACACGGACAGAUGGAGGUCGUCAGCCAUGGUAGGCAAUUCAUCUAGGAGAGGGACAACUCCGAACAACAAACACGGACAGAUGGAGGUCGUUAGCCAUGGUAGGCAAUUCAUCUAGGAGAGGGACAACUCCGAACAACAAACACGGGCAGAUGGAGGUCGUCAGCCAUGGUAGGCAAUUCAUCUAGGAGAGGGACAACUCCGAACAACAAACACGGGCAGAUGGAGGUCGUCAGCCAUGGUAGGCAAUUCAUCUAGGAGAGGGACAACUCCGAACAACAAACACGGACAGAUGGAGGUCGUUAGCCGUGGUAGGCAAUUCAUCUAGGAGAGGACAACUCCGAACAACAAACACGGACAGAUGGAGGUCGUCAGCCAUGGUAGGCAAUUCAUCUAGGAGAGGGACAACUCCGAACAACAAACACGGACAGAUGGAGGUCGUCAGCCGUGGUAGGUAAUUCAUCUAGGAGAGGGACAACUCCGAACAACAAACACGGACAGAUGGAGGUCGUUAGCCGUGGUAGGCAAUUCAUCUAGGAGAGGGACAACUCCGAACAACAAACACGGACAGAUGGAGGUCGUUAGCCAUGGUAGGCAAUUCAUCUAGGAGAGGGACAACUCCGAACAACAAACACGGACAGAUGGAGGUCGUCAGCCAUGGUAGGCAAUUCAUCUAGGAGAGGGACAACUCCGAACAACAAACACGGACAGAUGGAGGUCGUUAGCCAUGGUAGGCAAUUCAUCUAGGAGAGGGACAACUCCGAACAACAAACCCGGCAGGUGGAGGUCGUUAGCGUGAGCAAUUCACCUAGGAGAGCAAACUCCGAUUACAAACCCGGCAGGUGGAGGUCGUUAGCGAGAGCAGUUCACCUAGGAGAGCAAACUCCGAUUACAAACCCGGCAGGUGGAGGUCGUUAGCGAGAGCAGUUCACCUAGGAGAGCAAACUCCGAUUACAAACCCGGCAGGUGGAGGUCGUUAGCGCCAGCAGUUCACCUAGGAGAGCAAACUCCGAUUAAAAACCCGGCAGGUGGAGGUCGUUAGCGUGAGCAGUUCACCUAGGAGAAGGACAACUCUGAUCACAAACCCGGGGAGGUGGAGAUCGUUAGCCGCGAGGCAGUUCACCUAGGAGAGCAAACUCCGAUCACAAACCCGGGCAGGAGGGGGUCGUCAGCCGUGGUAGGCAGUCCUCCUAGGAGAAGGAAAACUCCGAAUUCAAACCACACACCAAACACUAAUAAAAAAUCAAACAAAAAACAAAUAAAUAAAUAAAUUAAUAAAAUAAAAUAUAACAAACAAAUAAAAUAAUUAAAUAAAUAAAUAAAUAAAGCGUAGUAAAGUUUAGUAUAAAUAGAAUAGAUUACAAACACACAUCAUUUACUUUUCGCCCCUAACAUCAACAUCAACCAAAUUAUGGGUGAGUCUUAUGGGGACGAAGAGGCCACCGCAGAACACCACAAAACGGAUGGUAUAAAAACAACAUCAAAAAAGGAAUUAGAUAUAUAUGACACCAAAAAAAUGAUAAUAUAUAUAAAACAAAACAAAAAAAGUGCAGUAUAUAAAAACCGAACACCAAGAUCGACGCAUAACAACAAGAAAUGAUAGAAACACAAAAUACUGA